CCCCGGAGCGGAGCCCGCCUGGGGCCCACCAGCCAAAGCAAGGCCUCUUACCUUGCCCACAGGGCUGCCAUGGCUGGGGGCCGCGGGGCCCCCGGGCGUGGCCGGGACGAGCCGCCUGAGAGUUACCCGCAGCGACAGGACCAUGAGCUACAGGCCCUGGAGGCCAUCUACGGCGCCGACUUCCAGGACCUGCGGCCGGACGCGUGCGGACGGGUCAAAGAGCCUCCAGAAAUCAAUUUAGUGCUGUACCCUCAGGGCCUGACUGGUGAAGAAGUAUAUGUGAAAGUGGAUUUGAGAGUUAAAUGCCCACCCACCUAUCCAGAUGUAGUCCCUGAAAUAGAAUUAAAGAAUGCCAAAGGUCUGUCAAAUGAAAGUGUUAACUUGUUAAAGUCACGCCUAGAAGAAGUGGCCAAGAAACAUUGUGGCGAGGUGAUGAUAUUUGAACUGGCUUACCACGUGCAGUUAUUUCUCAGCGAGCACAACAAGCCCCCUCCCAAGUCUUUUCAUGAGGAAAUGCUGGAAAGGCAGGCUCAGGAGGAGCAGCGGAGGCAGUUGGAGGCCAAGCGGAAAGAGGAGCAGGAGCAACGUGAAAUCCUUCAUGAGAUUCAGAGGAGGAAAGAAGAGAUAAAAGAAGAGAAAAAAAGGAAAGAAAUGGCUAAGCAGGAACGUUUAGAAAUAGCUAGUUUGUCAAACCAAGAUCAAACCUCUAGAAAAGACCCAGGAGGAAACAGAACAGUUGCCCUGCUACACGGAGGCUCUCCUGACUUUGUAGGAAAUGGUAAACAUCGGACCAACUCCUCUGGAAGAUCUAGGCAUUUAACAAUCAGCAUUGAGGAAGCUUGGCGUCAGCUAUCUAUGCAUAGCAUCUGGAGAAUCACCAUUGUGCUUCUGCAGACAGCCGUGCCUGGCGUGCCUAUCUGCAGGAACACUGCUGCGUGCCUAGGCGAGAACGUCAAUAUUCUAUGUGUAGUAGUGAAGAUUCUCCUGGCUCUUGUGAAAUCCUGUAUUUCUCUGUUGGUAGUACUGAUCAGCUCAUGGUGCACAAAGGGAAAUGUAUUGGCAGUGAUGAGCAGCUUGGGAAAUUAAUUUACAAUGCUUUGGAAACAGCCACCGGCAGCUUUGUCUUAUUGUAUGAGUGGGUCCUUCAAUGGCAGAAAAAAAUGGGUCCGUUCCUUACCAGUCAGGAAAAAGAGAAGAUUGAUAAGUGCAAAAAGCAGAUUCAAGGGGCAGAAACAGAAUUCAGCUCACUGGUCAAACUGAGCCAUCCAAACAUAGUGCGCUACUUUGCAAUGAACCUCAAAGAGCAAAAUGAUUCCAUCGUGGUGGACAUUUUAGUGGAGCACAUGAAUGGGGUCUCCCUCGCAGCCCACCUGAGCCAUUCAGGCCCCAUCCCUGUGCAUCAGCUCCGCAGGUACGCAACCCAGCUCUUGUCAGGCCUCGAUUAUUUGCACAGCAAUUCUGUGGUGCACAAGGUGCUCAGCGCAUCGAAUGUCUUGGUGGACGCAGAGGGCACUAUCAAGAUCACAGACUACAGCAUUUCUAAGCGCCUGGCAGACAUUUGCAAGGAGGAUGUGUUUGAGCAAACCCGAGUUCGUUUUAGUGACAGUGCCCUACCUUAUAAAACGGGGAAGAAAGGGGAUGUCUGGCGGCUCGGCCUUCUGCUGCUCUCCCUCAGCCAAGGACAAGAGUGUGGCGAAUACCCAGUGACCAUCCCUAGUGACUUGCCAGCUGACUUUCAGGAUUUCCUGAGGAAGUGUGUCUGCUUAGAUGAUAAGGAAAGAUGGAAUCCUCAGCAGUUAUUAAAACACAGCUUUAUAAAUCCUCAGCCCAAAAUGCCUUUACUGGAACAAAGUCCUGAAGAUUCUGGAGGACAAGAUUACGUGGAGACUGUCAUUCCUAGCAACCAGCCACCCAGUGCUGCGUUCUUCAGUGAGACACAGAGACAGUUUUCCCGCUAUUUCAUUGAGUUUGAAGAAUUGCAGCUUCUUGGCAAAGGAGCUUUUGGAGCUGUCAUCAAGGUGCAGAACAAGCUGGACGGCUGCUGCUACGCAGUGAAGCGCAUCCCCAUCAACCCGGCCAGCAGGCACUUCCGCAGGAUCAAGGGCGAGGUGACGCUGCUGUCGCGCCUGCACCAUGAGAACAUCGUGCGCUACUACAAUGCCUGGAUAGAGAGGCAUGAGCGGCCGGUGGGACCUGCUACGCCGCCCCCGGACGCGGGGCCCCAGGCCCGGGACGAACGAGCCUUGCCCCAGCCGCUGGCAGGCACCAACGACACAGACGGCCUGGGCAGCGUGGAGGCGGCGGCACCGCCGCCCAUCCUUAGCAGCUCGGUGGAAUGGAGCACGUCGGGCGAGCGCUCCGCCAGCGCCCGCUUCCCUGCCUCUGGCCCAGGCUCCAGCAGCGAUGAGGAUGACGACGAGGAGGAGCAUGAGGGCGUCUUUUCACAGUCCUUCCUACCUGCUUCAGAUUCUGACAGUGACAUCAUCUUUGACAAUGACGAUGAGAACAGUAAAAGUCAGAAUCAGGAUGAAGACUGCAAUGGAGAGAACAGUUGCCAUGAAAGUGAGCCACCGGCAACCACUGAGGCCGUGCACUACCUCUAUAUCCAGAUGGAAUACUGUGAAAAGAGUACCUUACGUGACACCAUUGACCAGGGACUGUAUCGAGACACCGUCAGGCUCUGGAGGCUUUUCCGAGAGAUUCUGGAUGGACUGGCUUAUAUCCAUGAGAAAGGAAUGAUUCACCGAGAUUUGAAGCCUGUCAACAUUUUUUUGGAUUCUGAUGACCACGUAAAAAUAGGUGAUUUUGGUUUGGCAACAGACCAUCUAGCCUUUGCUGCUGAUGGCAAACAAGAUGAUACAUCAGAUCAUUUGAUGAAAUCAGACCCUUCAGGUCAUUUAACCGGAAUGGUUGGCACUGCUUUAUACGUAAGCCCAGAAGUCCAAGGAAGCACCAAAUCUGCAUACAACCAGAAAGUGGAUCUCUUCAGCCUGGGAAUUAUCUUCUUCGAGAUGUCCUAUCAUCCCAUGGUCACAGCCUCAGAAAGGAUCUUUGUUCUCAACCAACUCAGAGAUCCGACUUCGCCUAAGUUUCCAGACGACUUCGAUGAUGGAGAGCAUACAAAGCAGAAAUCCGUCAUCUCCUGGCUGUUGAACCACGACCCAGCCAAGCGGCCCACAGCUACGGAACUGCUCAAGAGCGAGCUGCUGCCCCCGCCUCAGAUGGAGGAGUCAGAGCUGCAUGAGGUGCUGCACCACACCCUGGCCAACGUGGAUGGCAAGGCCUACCGCACCAUGAUGGCCCAGAUCUUCUCCCAGCGUGUCCCACCUGCCAUCGAUUAUACCUACGACAGCGAUAUACUCAAGGGCAGUUUCUCCAUCCGUACAGCCAAGAUACAGCAACACGUGUGUGAAACCAUCAUCCGCAUCUUCAAAAGACAUGGUGCUGUCCAGUUGUGUACCCCACUACUGCUUCCCCGAAAUAGAAAAAUAUACGAGCACAACGAAGCUGCCUUGUUCAUGGACCACAGCGGGAUGCUGGUGAUGCUUCCUUUCGACCUGCGGGUUCCUUUUGCAAGAUAUGUGGCAAGAAAUAAUAUAUUGAAUUUAAAACGAUACUGCAUAGAACGUGUGUUCAGACCUCGCAAAUUGGAUCGAUUUCAUCCCAAAGAACUUCUGGAAUGUGCAUUUGAUAUUGUCACCUCUACCACCAACAGCUCUCUUCCCACUGCUGAAAUCAUCUAUACGAUCUAUGAAAUCAUCCAGGACUUCCCGGCACUUCAGGAAAGAAAUUACAGUAUUUACUUGAAUCAUACCAUGCUACUGAAAGCAAUACUCUUACACUGUGGGAUCCCAGAAGAUAAGCUCAACCAAGUCUAUGUUAUUCUAUAUGAUGCCGUGACAGAAAAGCUGACAAGGAGAGAAGUGGAAGCUAAAUUUUGUAAUCUGUCUUUGUCGUCGAAUAGUCUAUGUCGACUCUACAAAUUUAUUGAGCAGAAGGGAGAGUUGCAAGAUCUAACACCCACAAUCAAUUCAUUAAUAAAACAGAAAACAGGUGUUGCCCAGUUGGUGAAGUAUGGCUUAAAAGAUCUAGAGGAGGUUGUUGGACUGUUGAAGAAACUUGGCAUCAAGUUACAGGUCCUGAUCAAUUUGGGCUUGGUUUACAAGGUGCAGCAGCACAAUGGAAUCAUCUUCCAGUUUGUGGCGAUCAUCAGACGGAGGCAAAGGGCUAUAUCUGAAAUCCUUGCAGCUGGUGGCAGAUAUGACCUGCUGAUUCCCCAGUUUAGAGGACCACAGGCUCUGGGGCCAGUUCCAACUGCCAUUGGGGUCAGCAUAGCUAUAGACAAGAUAACUGCUGCUGUCCUCAACAUGGAAGAACCCGUUAUAAUAAGCUCUUGUGACCUCCUGGUUGUAAGUGUUGGCCAGAUGUCCAUGUCCAGGGCCAUUAACCUAACCCAGAAACUCUGGUCAGCGGGAAUCACAGCAGAAAUUAUGUAUGACUGGUCACAGUCCCAAGAGGAGUUACAGGAGUACUGCAGACAUCAUGAAAUCACCUAUGUGGCCCUUGUGUCAGAUAAAGAAGGAAGCCAUGUCAAGGUUAAGUCUUUUGAGAAAGAAAGACAAACAGAGAAACGUGUGCUGGAGUCCGAUCUGGUGGACCAUGUUUUGCAGAAGCUGAGAACUAAAGUCAGUGAUGAGAGGACUAUCAGAGAAGGUUCCGAUAAUCUUGCAGUACAAAGUCUGAAGGGGUCAUUUUCUAAUGCUUCAGGUUUGUUUGAAAUCCAUGGAGCAACAGUUGUUCCCAUUGUGAGCGUGGUAGCCCCAGAGAAGCUGUCAGCCAGCACUAGGAGGCGAUAUGAAACCCAGGUACAAACUCGACUUCAGACCUCCCUUGCCAACUUACAUCAGAAAAGCAGUGAAAUUGAAAUUUUGGCUGUGGAUCUACCCAAGGAAACAAUCUUACAGUUUUUAUCAUUAGAGGUCUCCAUUUUACAGAUAAAUGGAAUCAUUUUACAUUUUGUGGAGAACAGAAGCAGAGAAGUUAAGUAUCUUAUUCAAAGUCACCCAACUAGGAAGCUGCAGAGCAAGGAUUUCUUAACCACUAUAUUAUUCUGCUUCAAACAAACUGUUCUAACCAGGGAAGCUCAUUUGCAGAACUAGAACUACAUGGAGAUCUUUUUGUAAAAAUUAAAUUAAUUUAGGUCCUUUAUGCUUUUUUUUUUUUUUUACAGGUAUACCCUUAUUAUCAGAUAGCCUAAUUGAACUUUUAAAAAUCUUUAUACUUACCUUUGCUAUAAGAAAGUUUAUAACCUAGAGGUGAUUUUUACAUGUCAUACCAAAAAAUACUUUCGUCUAUCCAGAAUGUGUAGUCACAGAUUACAUUAGAUGAAAGACGAAUUUUGCCCCAGAACUAACAUUAAACACUACCAUUUUCUGGGUCUUUUUAAAGUCAUACUCUGUUUAUAUAAAAUACUGGCCAUAUUCCCUGAGCUAUAUAAUAUACCCUUGUAGCUUCUUUUAUAAGCUUACUCUCAGAGUUCCUGUUUGUGGCUCAGCAGAUUAGGGACCCGACAUCAUUUUCUCUGUGAGAAUGUGGGUUCGAUCCCUGGCUUCAUUCAGUGAGUUAAGGAUCCACUGUUUCUACAAGCUGCAGCUCCAAUUUGACCCUUGACCUGCGAACGUCCAUAUACUGCAGGUGCGGCUGUAAAAAUUAUUUAAAAAAAAAAAAAAAGGCUAACUCUCCGCCUUCCCUUUCCCCAUUGGUAUUCUCUUGUCUGGUAAAUAAGCACAUAGCACUGUACUAGCAGUUUACUGCUUUAUAAGCCAUUCAUAUUCACAUCAGAGGUGGUAUCUCCAUUUCACAUGAAGUCAACAGUUGGCAGAAAUAACUGGUACACAAGUCACAGUGGCACACUGCGGCUGCAGCAUUGUCAAUCAGGAUCUAGUAAGGUGGUCUUGGAGAGAAACUCAAUACUUCAAAGAACCCAAGCAGUCUCCCCACUGGUUCUCUCUCCCUGUAACUGAUCUCUUCAGUAUACUUAAAGGGGGAAAUGGCAUUGACAUUUCAUUAGUCACCCAGAAAAAGCCAGUUAAUAAACCCUAGUACCAGUGAUUAAGUCUUAUCUAUUUUUUCCUAGUGGGAUGCUGAUGAACAGGCAUUUAACACAACUGUGAAGCAGCUGUUGUCACGCCUGCCAAAGCAAAGAUACCUCAAAUUAGUCUGUGAUGAAAUUUAUAACAUCAAAGUAGAAAAAAAGGUGUCUGUGCUAUUCCUGUAUAGCUACAGAGAUGAUUACUACAGAAUCUUAUUUUAAUCCUAAAGAACAAUCAUUACAUUGUUCAAAUGGACAGGAGCUUAUACUAUAAAAUGCUGUACAUUCACUGUAAUUUUAAAUUAAUAUUCUAAGAAGCUGUCCUACAAAGUUGAGCUUUGUAAGUUUUUCAUGUAUAUUAUAAAUUUAUCUUUUUGAAUAUAAUAAAUGUUUUCAUAUAUCUGCUGCUCUUUAAUUGCCUUGGCACUAAAGAUUUUGUGGAGCUAGAACACAAGAAAAUAGCCUUGUUCUUCUCUUAGCCCUACUGUCUAAGCACAUGAAAAUGUCCAAAGUCAAGGGCAUAAAGAAAUCAAAUAUCAUCAUUAACCUGGGAUCUUUAUUCUUGAUGAUUUUGUCAUAAACUAAGUUUUGUUAAGCAAACUCUCAAUUGGCUAUGAGAACUCAUUCGAAUUUGCUAAAGGAACUAAGAAAACAAAAUUACACUAACGGUUGGGAAAAACACCCAUGAAAUAACACAGCUUUUUGUAAAAUUGUCAGGUUUCAAUUCCAAUAACCCACAAGAUAGGGCCUAAAGCCUAUUUGUAAUCCCACCAUUCCAGAAUGAGUAGCUAUUGCCAGAAACUUUUUAUGGAGUGGGAAAAGGAAUAAAAGAUAGUGAUGAUAAAUACAGGUUUAAUGGUACAGUGCUCUUCACAGGCUACAGAGACUCUAAACUAUAAUCCAGGAAUAAACAAACAUACAACACAGACCACUUAGCCAGAUCUAAAAUAAAUUGGCUUCUAAAAUAAACUACCCUGUAAACAAUGCAGCCUUUCUUCCAUCCAAAAGUGACCCUAAUCUCACAUGAAAACAGUUAUUGUACGGGAAUCAAAAACCCAGC